CUGCCAUCUACUUGGCAGUUACUGAAGGAGUCCUGGGAUUGCUGGGAAGCCCAGCCUGAGAGAAAGACCAGAAGACAGGAGUAGGAAAGUAUCAGGAUGUCAGAAUCCAGGAAACAUAUGCAGGGUUCUUAAGAGAAUGAAGACUAACUUGGUUUGGAGAAAAUUGGGAGAUUUUAUUAACUGGUUGAAGCCAGAAAGCCCCAAGGGAAACAAGCAAUAAGAGCCCUCCCUCACUUUGCUACAACAUUACAAGCAUCUUUCAGAAGUGCAGGUCAUCAGCAAUUCAUAGAGAAGUUCUAACCACAAUCAAGCUGUAAGGACACUUGUGAGAAGCUUUUCCAUCCGAGAAACACAAACAGUUCCAUCGAUCUUACUAACACCC